rnacentral:rRNA from 1 species
AGAGUGAACGCUGGCGGCAGGCCUAACACAUGCAAGUCGAACGGCAGCACAGGAGAGCUUGCUCUCUGGGUGGCGAGUGGCGGACGGGUGAGGAAUACGUCGGAAUCUGCCUAUUUGUGGGGGAUAACGUAGGGAAACUUACGCUAAUACCGCAUGCGACCUACGGGUGAAAGCGGAGGACCUUCGGGCUUCGCGCAGAUAGAUGAGCCGACGUCGGAUUAGCUAGUUGGCGGGGUAAAGGCCCACCAAGGCGACGAUCCGUAGCUGGUCUGAGAGGAUGAUCAGCCACACUGGAACUGAGACACGGUCCAGACUCCUACGGGAGCAGCAGUGGGGAAUA